GUGACUCCGUCUCCUCGGCUUGCUCCUCCCGCAGCCCUAGGUACAGCCGCCGGCGCCGCCAGAUCUUACUACUACUUAUGGUGCAGCACUUCAGCAGCCAACGCCACAACUGGACAGUGGCAGUCCAAUGCCCCAACUCCAUAUCCCCUCGACCCCUCCAUCUCCGCUUCUCACGCACGGACAGGAACGACGGCGGGCCGGCGCAAGGCUCUGAGCUGCGAUGCGGGGCGGCGCGACGUACAAGAGCGUUGCUGCGCGCAGGACAAGGAGCAUGACGACACGGCUGUGCCGGCAGGCAGCCGCGCGCAGACCACGGCGAGGAGCCUGACCGUGCUGAGGAGCUUACGGCCACACCAAACAGCCGACGCUUAGGGACGAGUCUGAUUCCAUCAUAACCGAAGCCUAGAAGAUGAUGCCUAGAACAUUGAGGUGAAGAACGAAAGAUUAUUCCUAGAACAUUCAGGUGAAGAAUGGAAUAUGAUGCAUGGUUGUACCUGUGGUUACUUGAUGUUGUGUGAUGCCAUUUUGUGAGAAACUAAGACUAAGAAAUGAUGCAGUGUUACUGCUCCAGUCUGCGUGGUGCUCGGGUCUUCAGUCUCUGGGCGUUGUGUCACCUUGUCUUGCAUGAGGUGCGAUGUAAUAAGUUUCUUGCUGGGUCAGUGAACCGAGUUUCUGAAC